rnacentral:rRNA from 1 species
AUGUGGCAGUCCAAGCCAGUCCUGCUCCUGCUCCUGCUCGCCGUCACCACGGCGGCGACCAGCGGUAAGCCGCUGCUCACGAAGAUCACCAAGGGUGCCGCGUCCACGGCGCUCUACACCGCGCCCCUCAGCGCCGGCCGCCCGCUGGUCCUCGACCUGUCCGCCCCGGCCAUCACGACGCCGUGCAGCGGGCAGACGACGACCGUCACGCUCUCCGCCAACUCCACCGACGGCAGCAACCCGCUGUCCCCGGUCUCCUUCGCUGCCACCGCCACCUGCGCGGCGGCCCCCUCCGGCGCCGUCGGCGUCGCGGGGCUCGCGCGCUCUAGCGCAUCGUUCCCGGCACAGGUCGCCAGUACACAGAAGGUGGCCAACUCGUUCGCGCUCUGCCUCCCGAGCGACGGCAGGACCGGGUUCAGCGGCAACGGCGUGGGCGCGGCCAUCUUCGGUGGCGGCCCGUUCUUCCUCGCGCCCCCGGCGGACCGGCCGUCCAUUACGACGCUCCUCUCCGACGGCGUCCCGCUCCGCCAGCCCUUCGCCGGGAACCCCGGCUACUUCGUGACCGCCACCAACGGCAUCGCCAUCGACGGGACGCGCGUGACCGUGUCCGGCUCCGGUGCGCUUGUGGUCGGCCUCUCCACCACGAUCCCCUACGCGCAGCUCCGGAGCGACGUGUACCGCCCCUUCAUCACGGCCUUCGACCGCGCCAUGGGAUCCAGCGCCAAGGUGGCGGCGGUGAAGCCAUUCGAGCUGUGCUACGACUCGUCCAAGCUGGCGCCGACGCGGUUCGGGUACCUGGUGCCGAACGUGGACGUGAUGCUGGAGGGCGGGACGAACUGGACGGUGGUGGGCGGCAACUCCAUGGCGCAGGUGAACAGCGGCACGGCGUGCUUCGCGUUCGUCCGGUCGGGAGGCAGCACGGGGGGCGCGACGCCGGCGCUGGUGAUCGGAGGGUUCCAGAUGGAGAACAAGCUGGUGGUGCUGGACAACGGCAAGAAGACGCUCAGCUUCACCCAGAACCUCCCGGGCAUGGGCUUCUCCUGCAGCAACUUCAAUUUCACCAGGGCCGGCUAG